rnacentral:ncRNA from 1 species
CAAAGGCUUGGUCCUGGCUUUACUGUCGGCUUUAACUAGAUUUACACAUGCAAGUCUCCGCACCCCUGUGAGGAUGCCCUUUACUCUCUGCCCGGGAGCAAGGAGCUGGUAUCAGGCACGCUCUGCGGCCCAUGACGCCUUGCUAAGCCACACCCCCAAGGGAAUUCAGCAGUGAUAAACAUUAAGCGAUAAGCGAAAGCUUGACUUACUCAAAGUUGAAACAGGGCUGGUAAAACUCGUGCCAGCCACCGCGGUUAGACGAAGUAGCCCAAGUUGACGAACAUCGGCGUAAAGAGUGGUCAAGGGCAGAAACAACUAAAGCCGAAGCUCCCCUCAACCGUUAUACGCAUUCGGAGGAGCGAAGUUCUACUACGAAAGUGGCUUUAUCCAACCUGAACCCACGACAGCUAAGGAACAAACUGGGAUUAGAUACCCCACUAUGCUUAGCCUCAAACUAUGAUGCUAAGGUACAACUAGCAUCCGCCAGGGAACUACAAGCACUAGCUUCAAACCCAAAGGACUUGGCGGUACCUCAGACCCCCCUAGAGGAGCCUGUUCUAGAACCGACAAUCCCCGUUCAACCUCACCACCUCUUGUUUUCCCUGUCUAUAUACCGCCGUCGUCAGCUUACCCUGUGAAGGGUCCUAUAGUAAGCACAAUGGAUAAAUUCCAGAACGUCAGGUCGAGGUGUAGCGUAUGGGGUGGAAAGAAAUGGGCUACAUUUCCUAAGAUAGGACACUACCAAUAAUGCUGUGAAAUCAGUGCUUGAAGGUGGAUUUAGCAGUAAGAAAGAACCAGAGAGUCUUUCUGAAGCCGGCUCUGAGGUGCGUACACACCGCCCGUCACCCUCCCCGAGUUCAUCGUGCCCGCUAAUUAAGAAGUGAGUCAAACAAAGGGGAGGCAAGUCGUAACAUGGUAAGUGUACUGGAAAGUGCACUUGGAUUAAC